AUUCUUCUCUUUUCCUUCCCCAUAGCCGAAUUUAAUAAAGAUUGGUGAUUUGGCUCAAGAUUUCCAAGAUAAGUAAUCAAUUCUAGAGUUUUACUCAGCAUCGCGAGGCUGGCUACAACCUAGGUAAUGGCAUCUCUAGACUUCCACUCAGAGUAGCUCCGCUGCCUAGAGGUCGGUUUGUGUCAAAUAGUCAAGCUUGUAAUGAUUAAUAGUUACUGAAAAUGUACUAGUUAGAACUUAAUGUUAUGUAAUGACUACUUCAUAUUAUGUUGAAAUCGUAUGGAAGUAUCAAAUCUGGUUGUUUGUAUUUAGAAGCCACGUCUAAAUGUUGUGAAUAUUUGGUUUACAUGAACUAUGAUGUUAAAAAUUGUAAGUUGAGUUUAAAUUGUGUGAAGGCUUAA